AGCGAGAGUCGGCUCCGAGCCGCCGCGGGGGUCGCGUCGCGGGGCAGCGGCGAUGGCGGGGCGGGCGUGCGGGCGGAUGCUGCUGUUGCUGCUCUUCGGCUGCUGGUCCUUGGUAGCAGGCCAGGUGACACAGAGAGAAGUGCCGGAGAAUGGCCCGGUUGACCUGCCAUGUGGUGCAUAUUUGGCGCAGCGGGGAAAUCCCCGGAUCGAGUGGAAGUUUGAGAAGGGCAACACCGUGACGCUUUUCUACUGGAACUCUCAGUUCACAGAACCGUACAAAGGCCGCGUACAGUUCACACCCUCAUCGAUCCACUUCAGUUCGGUGACCCGGAAGGACACUGGGAAGUACAUCUGUGAGGUCCUGGGGGAGAGCGGCCAGCUCUCCAAGUCGGAGGUCAACCUCAUCGUCCAAGUGGCCCCCUCCAAGCCUGUGGCUUCCGUACCCGCCUCAGUGACCAUCGGCAACAAGGCUGAGCUGACGUGCAAGGAGUCAGAUGGCUCCCCGCCCCCCACCUUCCAGUGGUACAGGAACAACAUCCAGAUGCCCGUGAACCCCAAGAUGAGCGAGGCCUUCAAGAACUCCUCCUACGAGCUCAACCCCAAGACAGGGCAGCUGACGUUUGAUCCUGUGACCGGCUUUGACUCAGGGGAUUACUACUGCGAGGCGCAGAACAACAUUGGGACCCCUCAGAAAUCGGACACCUAUCGCUUGGAAGCUAGUGAACUCAACGUGGGCGCCAUCGUAGCCACCGUGGUGGUGCUGCUGAUCCUCCUGGGGCUCAUAGCCUUCGGCAUCUGGUUUGCUUACAGCCGUGGCUACUUCAACAGUGAGUACUGCCCUCCAGGCUCUGCCCUCCCCUUCUCCUGGCAGCUUCUGGGUGGGGUGAUGCCUCCUGGGAUCUGGAGUUUCUGUUGGAGAGGUCUGUCAUGCAAGGCUCCCACUCCUUGAGUCUUGUGAUUUGGGGGCCCACAGAAACAUGAUGGCCCGUGGGACUUUUCUUGCCUAGAGCAGUCCAGGGCAGGUGUGGUGGUGGGGAAUGUGGUGCUCGGUGUUGGCAUUUAACUGUCCUGCGUCCUUUCUUUUUUCCUUUUCAGAAAGAAAAGAGUAAGUGGAACCUCCGUUCCCUCCCCGCCGGCGGCUUGCUGUGUGCAAGCCUCCCUGCAGGGACCCGCCAGCUGGCGCUGGGGAGCGGGGACGGUGUUCUCUGGGCAGCCGGGAGUCAGCGCAGAGACCCCACCUCCUCCCGAGUCGUUCACAUUCACCUCGGAUCUUCCCUGGGGCUGGUGGAGUGCAGGGUGCCAGUGCUGAUGACUAAUGUCUCACUGCCAUAGCCCAUCCUUUGCUGGACUCCUGUUUCAUGGGGUUUGGGCUCAGGCAACUCUGACUUCUCCUCUUUGCCUCUGAAGCAUCUUUCUGCUUUCCCUGCCACCAGUCACCCUUUCCCACGACCCACCACUGCUGUUGCAGCCAUCCCCUGGGGUCUGCUUCAUGGCCCCCAUUGGCCCAAUUCCUGCUGGAUUCAGUCAUGAGGAGUCACCUGGGUGUAGUGUGAUUUUUCUGCAGCCUCUCAGACUUCAGGGAGAUGCUGCCACUGAUUGCUGUCCCAGGAAGCAAAAUGUGGGAGUGUCCUGGUCACAAUCCCCUGUGGAGCAGGACAGUCUGCGGCCUCUUGGCCGGUGUGGGGAGAGCCCCCGAGGGAGCUGGGCACUCGAUGGGGAAAAGGCUUGAAAAUGAGAGCCUCUGACAGCAGCUGGGGAGCAGCAGCUGUUAUUGCUGGGUGGGCCUAAGAGAGAGCAGACCUUUGCAUCAUACAUCUGAUCCCCACUCUCUUCUUCUCUCUAGCAGCACCAACAAGAAAGUAAUUUACAGCCAGCCUUCCCAAAGGAGUGAUGGAGAAUUCAAACAGACAUCGUCCUUCCUGGUGUGAGUGCCGGCUGGACCUGCCGCGUGGCGCGUUGGCCCUGCCUUCCUACUUCCCCCAGGACUGCUGCGCCUGUGCCCUGAAUCCUGGGCCCUGCCUCAGCAUUUUUAGCUGUCAGUUUUUUUUUUUAAAGCUCUCCAUGGUGCCUUUUCCGUGUCACCCAACCCUCCCCGCACCCCUUUCCCCCUGAUGUCAGGGAACAUUGCUGUUCUGCAGAUCCUCCUGCCCACCUGUGCAAAAGUGGCUGCUUCACACGAACCCUUGGCCUAUCCUCCAGGAGCAGCUGACAUGUUGCAAGGGCUCUGGCCCCCUCUGCGCUUCGCUAUGUUGCUUGCCUCGUGUUGAGGGCAGGCGUGAUGAAGGAGAUGCAUGCUCUGGGACUAGCCUGUGGCCCUCUCCCCUGCACCCCAGCACUGAAGACAGGCAGCUUGACCUCACUUUUGUGGCUGGAGAGGAUUGGGCUGGGGCUUCCCCCUUGGCAUCACCAGAGCCUGCCGGUGUGGGGGGAAAGCUGGAACAGCAUCAUCGUGGCCUCUGACAUCCCUGUGGCUGUUCAGCGGGGCCUCACAAAGUCCUGUGCCCUCACCUGGCCUUGGCCUGCAGUGAGUGUUGCUGUGGGGGCAAGGUCUGGGAGGCAUUGUGUUUGGAGCAACCUCCCACCCUGGUGUGGCCCUGCCUGACUCACUCCAGCACAGCUAUCCUUGCCACUCCAGCGUGGGAUGGAGCUGCCUUCUGCACAGCUCUGCUCUGCCCAGGGGGGGCAAUCCACGCUGAUAGGAGCCAUGGCUUGCAUAGUGCCAGUGCUGCUGUGGGCCAUGUCAGCGGGGCCGGUUGGGCAGGUGAUGGAGGGAGCAGCCCCGAGAUUUUCCUCUGGGCAGCCCACAGCUCGGUUGCCUGCUGCUAGUUCCUCCUGCCAGCUCCACACUGGUGCUGGCAGCCUGGCGUUUCCCCACAGUGGCUCUUGUGUAGACCUGAGGGGUCAGGCUGCUUCAGGUGGGAGCCUGGCCUCCAUUAUGCUGGCUGUGGUGUGUGGGGCUGUUGUAUGAAUGAAACCUGGUUGUAGUUCUGAGUGGGGACGGCCAGUGGGACUGGGAGCAGUCCAGGUGGUAACCCUAUCAUCACAGCCAGGGAGAGGUCUGGCCAGUCAUGGCUGAGACCCAGGGCGAUGGGGACUAGGGCCACAGACAUGGUAAGGAGGGCAGCUGUGAAGGCAGGUGCAGGGAGCCCAGGCACUUCCCCGGAAGUGGAGCUGGCUGAUCUCCGGGGCUGAAGCCCAAGUGGGAAGUUCCCCUCCCCUCCCCCCCCAAUCACUUGGGCAGGUGGACCUAGGCCGCAGCUGUCAUGGGGUCUCACUGGGCUGCCCUGGGCUGGGUCGUGUGUUGCCACAGCUGUACCAAACUCCUGUGAUCUACUGAACGUCUACCUGGAAAUAAACCUGUUUGUGCGA